ensembl:misc_RNA Y_RNA Y RNA
GGCUGGUCCAAGUGUAGUAGUGUUUACAACUAAUUGAUACAAGAAGUUACAAAUUUCUUUGUUGCUUCUUCAUUCCCACUGCUUCACUUCCUAGCCUUAA